GUUUGCUGUUUGGACAGGCCUGGCAGCUGUGGCGACUGAAUCUAAGAAGAAAGGCUGAUAAUGCUCUGGCUGGUUUCAUAAUAGGACUUUUCAAGGCACUGUCCCAUCCAUUAACUCAUUUGAAAUGAAAGGUAGGGUUUUCUUUUUUCCCCCCAUUAGGAAAGAUACUUACAUGUUUUAUUCAAAAUUCUUUUAAGCCACCACCAAAGAAGAGAAAGAAAUUAACAUAAUAACUCUCCGGGUGGUUCCCUGUUUACAAAGUAAGUUUAACUUUUACUUUGUUUUCCUUCAGAGCCCUAAAUUCAACUCCUACUUUAUUCCAUAUUUCCAUUUUCAGUCAUCCUUGAUGCCUGAAAUGAUUUAGUUGAUGCCAUAUUGAUUUCGUUCUUGUUUGCUUCCUCAAAAUGUUUCUCAUUUUUCUGUCCCCUUGGCUCAUUUCUAAGUGUGUUUUCUAAUGUCCAUAUCCUGCACAAUUGCCAGCAGCACCAUGACCUAGGGAGGACCCUCAUUAUGAACUGCAUUCUACAGGAAAAAAGACGCACGUCCCCUUCAAAUGAUGUGGCUUGCCCCAUGGAAAACAGAGUUGGUGUCUGAGUCAGGUUUGCUUCCCCAGAGCUCCAGGGCCAUUGCUAUUGUCCUCUUUCCUGCACGCUUCCUCAUUUGCAAAACAAUGUGAAUUCUGUUCUUGCCCUUAUAAUUAAAGGAAAAAUGAGGAUGAUCAAGAGUGGUUGCUUCAGGGACCUUCCACACUGCUAAGGCCACCUCUAUUUUUCCAGACUCCAGGUAUAUUUUAAAAUGAAGACAUGUCAAAAUAGGUUUCUGUUGUAGUUAAAAUGUUUACACCUAUUAGCAAUUAUAUUUGUAUGAGAGUUGAAGGCUCUUCCAACACUGUCAGUGUACUUCUGUGACAGUAUGUAUCUAAACUCAUUUGGAAAUAAACAAUAAUUGUCUAAUUUUGGCCCUUAAUUGAGGUCCUAGCUUAAUGCCCUCUUUUCUCAUAAAGGAAUGCCCUUACAUGAACAUUAGGACUUUAGAGGACAGCAGUGGUGGCAACAGUGGAGUUGACUGCAGCUGGGGCAAAGGUAGCAGGUUAAUACCAGCUAACACCUCCAGAGCAUUUGCCAUGUGCCAGGGACAAUGCUAAGUAUUUUAUGUGUGCUAACACUAUGCUUUCUUAGGCAGGUACUAUUAUUAUCUGCUUUUUUUAACAGAUGAAGAAACCGAGCCACACAGAGGUUAAAUAACUUGCCCAAGGGUGCACAACUACUAGUAGUAUUGAGUCUAUACGCUUAAGUAUUGUGCUAUUCCAUUUCUUACUGAAUACAAAGCAAAAAAACAUAAGGAUCAGAGGAGGAGUGUGAGUGUCCUCAUACUCACAGCAAAAGGAGGUCAGUGGGUGUGUGUGGUGGUGGGAGGGGACUUACAAUAUCAAUAAUGACACUAGGUGGGGGCUCAGUAGCUCAUGCCAUUUUGAUUAUCUACCAAUGUGUGGGUGUCCCCAGGCUGAAGGAAUUGGGUUAACAAGGUUUAUAUCUGCACUUACAUUCUUUCCCCAAAAAUGUGUCCAAAAUUGAAAGUGCCAUUUUUCAAUGACACAUAGAAUCUGGGCAGUAGCACAGGACCCUGUGUUCAGAAUGACCAGAUGCUUAGACGAAUGAUCUGUUGCCGCCAUCUUGAAAAUCUCAAUACUAUUUGAACAAAUCUCAAUAAUAUUUGAACAUUUUGCACUGGGCCCUGCAAAUUAUGUACCUGGUCCUGUGUGGAAUUCUGGGCAAUUUGUACACACUAGUAACUCCAAUCUGCCGGGGGAAACAAGGUUCUAUCUCCCUGUGAUUCCUGUGGAACUUAGACCUCGUACUGUUUGUCCUUACAAUAAAUCCCCAUUAAUGAGGGAAGCACGAUUGGUCUCCCUUGCUCUUGCAACCUGAAAGAGCCUAUAGAAUACAGAUGCCAUUGUGAAUGCUUUUGUAAUUUGGAGAUUCCUUUUUUUUUUUUUUUAAUCAACGGAAUAAUCAGCCUCUUCAUGUAUCCAUAGGGAAUUCAGGAGAGGAUUGAAGAAGCGGUUCCUGUUUUUGAGGCAUUUGCAAUCAUUGCUGGAGAGACAGAACCAACAGAUGGGGAACAAUGGUCAGGGACUCCAGGCCUGAUUUAAGCCAAUGCCGCCCUGUGGUCUUUACCCACGAAUGGUGUGGAAAAUGAGAGCAGGGAAGAGGAUUUACUCACUGGCUGUGGAGUUAGGUCAGAAGGGGGAUGGAAAGAAGGAACCGGAUGGCUUUGGGGACAUUUCUUAAUCUUUAGGCUUCACCUUCCUUAACUGAAAAUAAAGCCAUAAGUUACCUCCAGAACUCUUUCAGCCUUAACAUUCAAUGAAUCUCGAUCUUUUCUGUAAAGCUAGAUUUUUAUGUGUGGUAUUUGCUAAAAGUUGGGGCGCACCCUUACUUGAUCUGGCCCAGACUAUAGAUCACAUGAAGAUCACAUUAAAUCAG
rnacentral:lncRNA from 10 species